GAUGAACGCUGGCGGCGUGCCUAAUACAUGCAAGUCGAGCGAACAGACGCGGCGCUUGCUCCUCUUACGUUAGCGGCGGACAGGUGAGUAACAAGCUGAUCACCUACCUAUAAGACUGGGAUAACUUCGGGAAACCGGAGCUAAUACCGGCUCAUAUAUUGAACCGCAUGGUUCAAUAGUUUACGACGGGUUUGCUGUCACUUAUACAUGGAUCCGCGCCGCAGUAGCUAGUUGGUAAGGUAACGGCCUACCAAGGCAACCAUGCGUAGACGACCGGAGAGGGGGAUAGGCCACACUGGAGCGGAGACACGGUCCAGACUCCUACGAGAGGCAGCAGUAGGGAAUGUGAGGCAAUGGGCGAAAGCCUGACGGAGCAACGCCGCGUGAGAGAUAAAGGUGUUCGGAGCGUAAAACUCUGUUAUUAGGGAAGAACAAAUGUGUAAGGAAAUAUGGACGAAUUGACGGUACCUAAACAGAAAGCAACGGCUAACUACGUG
rnacentral:rRNA from 1 species